UACGUAGGGCGCAAGCGUUAUCCGGAAUCACUGGGCGUAAAGGGUGCGUAGGCGGGCCUUUAAGUCAGGGGUGAAAUCCUGGAGCUCAACUCCAGAACUGCCUUUGAUACUGAAGAUCUUGAGUUCGGGAGAGGUGAGUGGAACUGCGAGUGUAGAGGUGAAAUUCGUAGAUAUUCGCAAGAACACCAGUGGCGAAGGCGGCUCACUGGCCCGAUACUGACGCUGAGGCACGAAAGCGUGGGGAGCAAACAGG
rnacentral:rRNA from 1 species